GGAUUAGAUACCCUGGUAGUCUACGCCGUAAACGAUGUGCACUUGGUGUUGGGCCGUUAGGUUCAGUGCCGAAGUUAACGCGAUAAGUGCACCGCCUGGGGAGUAUGCCGGCAACGGUGAAACUCAAAGGAAUUGACGGGGGCCCGCACAAGCGGUGGAGCAUGUGGUUUAAUUCGAUGAUACGCGAGGAACCUUACCAGGGCUUGACAUAUUUUUGACGGAUCUAGAGAUAGGUCUUCUCUUCGGAGCAAUUAUACAGGUGCUGCAUGGCUGUCGUCAGCUCGUGCCG
rnacentral:rRNA from 1 species